CCUGGGCCUGAGCAUGUGAUCCCCCUGCCUCAGCCUCCUGGAGUGCUGGGAUUACAGGUGUGUAGCAUUCACACUUAGAAGGCACAACUCAGUGGCUUGGAGUAACAGGAUUGUACAGCCAUCAUCAGUACAUUUAGAAUGUUUUCAUCACCUCAAAAAGAAGCCCCCUGCUCUGUAGUGAUCUACCUGCCCACCCCACUCCUCCAUCAUCCCCCACCCUGAGCAACCACUGAUCUACUUCCUGUCUCUGUGAACUUGCUUUUUCUGAACACUUUCUAUCAGUGGGAUCGAUCAGCCUUGGGUCCUUUGGGUCCAGCUCCUUGCUUACGGCCUUGGGUCCUUUGGGUCCAGCUCCUUGCUUACGGUGUGAUAUUCCCAAGAUCCAGCCAUGCUGUAGCAUGUAGGAGGGUUUCGUUCUUUUCAUCAAGCUGAGCAUCGGCCCGAUACAUGGAUGGACAGAUCAUAUUUUGUUUAUCCACUUGGCAACUGAUAGAUAUCUGGGUUGUUUCCACUCUGGGGUUAUUAUGAAUAACGCAGCUGAGUAUUCAUGUAUGUUCUAGUGCAGACAUAUAUUUCUUUUGGGCAUAUAGCUCAGAAUGGACAUGCUGGGUCAUGCAACAGUUCCAUGUUGAACAUUUGGUGGAACCACUUCUUUCAACUUUGUAUUUGGGAAAUUUCCUUCCAUUCUUGAGAGUGGAGAAAUUUUGGUAAUAACGCAUCAGCUACUCAUUGUCCAGAUUGGACAACGAUCAUCACCUUUCUGCUUAUCUUGUUCUCUCUACCUUCUCUCCCUUUGUCUCCCACCGAGUAUCUUAAGCCAGUUCAAGCACUGCUUUUCAUGUUGUCUCAGCUGAGAGGCCAACAUUUUCUUUUAUCCCAGACCUUCAGUUGGAGUAGCCUACAGCCAGCCACCUUCUUGCAGGGGAAUGGAGGAGUUGGUCAGACUCCAGAGUGCUCACUGUGCGUGAGGGGAGCAGCCCCUGAGUGAGGCGGGACUAGCUAUAUAAUUUGCAGAAUCUGGGUGAAAUGAACACAUGGAACUCUGUUAAAAAAAUGAAGAAGUUGGGGCCAGGGAUUUAGCUCAGUGGUGCCACCACCUGCCUCGUAAGCACAAGCACCUGAGUUCGAUCCCUGGUACCAAAAAAAAAAAAAAUUAAAUUUGAGAUGGCAGAGCAUUAAAUCAAGCAGGGGCUUUAUAUAGGUAUAGCUUCUCUGUCCAUGAGGUCAGCUCUGCCCCACAGCCAGCAAAAAGGUGCCCAAGCAGAACUGAUUCAGCAGACGCAGGAAUUUAGAACCUUGGGUACUGGGACAGACAUAAACAUCCCUCACCCUCGAUCCCUGGAAAGGUCCCAAGGAAAGUUAGGAACACUAUGGCAUAUGAGGCAAGAUUUAAACCCAUUUCAUUUGAAUCUCCAAAAAUAAGAUGACCCCAGCUGACAUGGGGGCUAUAAGCACUUAGAGAAAUAGCCGUUUGUAGUAUUCCUUCUUUCCUGAGAGCUCACACUUGAUUUAUUUGGCCACUCCAUUUUGUGCUGGAUUCUGAGUACACUCUGACACCCCCGCAGAAGUUAGGGCUGCAGUCUUAGGAACAGAGACCCACUGGGUUCCCAACAGCCCAGAGCUGCAGGGGUCCAGGGUGGCCGUGGUGGACAUGGCAGCCAAGGGUGGCAACCAGUUCUUCCCAGCUCAGACACAGCUCCCACCACGUGUCUCAUGUUCUGUGUUUACCGAGGAGGCUCAGCCCAAGGAUUCAUAACCUUAGCUCCAGAAACCCCGUGUGUGUCAGGAUGACACCCAAGGGUGCGUGAUACCAAGUGCCUUGUCGCGAAGGUAUAUGGCACACAGCAAAAGCUGCGGUGGGGCUCAGUGAGGAGAGAGCCGGAAGGACGGUGUAGCUCUCCUGUCAGCCAAGGGGAGGUCACUCAUUCAUUCAGUCACCUGUUACCCACGGCACUUAAGGGCCUGUGGACUGGGCGAGAGUGAAACAGCCAUCAGCAGGGUAGACCUCCUCCACCACUCCACUGUCCCGACAAGCAGGGCUGGGGAUCGAAUCCAGCGCCUCACGUGUGCUACGAUGGCUCGGUCCCUGAGCUACAUCCUCAGCCCUUACCCAGAUUUACAAACAAUAUCGUAAGUGUGGAAAGAAGAGUAAUGCAAGAGAGAGUAAGAUAAGAAAUAAAGGGGUCCCUUUGCCAUUCUUCGUAGCUCUGACCUCACUUUCUAGGAAGUAACCACAGCCUUUGUACAUUUUGUAAGCCUGGUCAGAUUCAUGGGGUUUUGCUUGUUUACAAUGUUGAGAAGGGUCAGGGUGUCACAAUAUGUCCUGAAGACAGAACAGCUCCCAGACCCACCUCAUUUUUUUUAAUGAUGUCCAGCAUCGCAUCACGCCGACUUACCCUGGCCCCUCCUGGCUAACCUUUGCUUUUAACUCUAGGAUGUUGCCGUAGAUUAUAUCUGCACUGUGGCACGUGGCCAUGUAUACUCUGUAGGAUCAAUUCCUAGAAGUGGAAUUUCUCCGUCAGAGGAGAAGUGUAUUGUGAAUUUCUACAGGGAUUGCCCAGUGCCCUUCAAACAGACUGUACGAUUCACAAGCCCCUCAGCCUCAUGUGUACGUCAGGGUACCUGGUUCUGACACCCUUUGCAUCCCAGAAGGAUGCGGAUUCCCUGGUGAGGUAAGUGGACUUUCUAUGUGGGUCUGGGUGGGGGUGGCCAUGGCCUCCAGGGCCGUCCCUGUCACUUUCUGAAGAGAUGGGCCGGUUAGAGUGCUUGUUAGUUUGGGUUUUAUAAACAAAGGCAGGGUUGAGGAAGGUGAGCCAGAACUCUGCAGUGAAAAGCAUUGUGCAAGCCAGUAUUUAUUUCUUUAGCGCAGUUAGAACUUAAAUGUGGUCAAAACAUAUUCUUCUUUUUAAUUUACACAAACAAAUAUGUUCCCAGGCUGACACCUCUGAUGCCAAGUUUCUAGGGGAAACAAAAUUCAACUGUGUGAUUAUAAACCACUAGAGAGAAAGCAGGAAUGGAGAACCCGCCCAGAGUCCGCUUUCCCGUGCCCAGCACGGAGGGCUGAAGGUUCUCUUUCUGUCUCAAUUGUAGAGAUCUGCCAGAAAUUUUGGUGAAUGAAAUGUGGAUGGACCGCGUCAAGGCCAGAGGAUGCAAAAGGCCCCAGUUUUGAUUAAGAAAAAGAAAAAAGAGGCCAGCUUGGCUUGGCACCCUCCCUGCUGCCAGUCAGGAGACUGCAGAGCUGUUUCCAGAGAGCUGCUGAUGAACUGAGGGAAGAGCGACAGGACAGCGGGAGUCGGCUCUCAGGGCUGCGCGAGCACAAAACCAAACAACUUGAAACUCUUCCAAGGGAGGGGAUUAAGGCAACAUGUUAUUUUGAGUGAUUGCUUAAUUUAUUGAGCUGCGGCUAGAUCUGUAAGGAAAUACAGCCCUUGUAACUGAUCACCUCCUACUGCAAUCGGACCUUCUGCAAUGAAGGGAUGUUUUCCCGGAGUUUCUCCGGAAGCCUGGAAUUUGCAGCCUCUGGGUAGGGGUGCUUUUGGGCACUCAUGUUCCAGGUGAGCUUUUUCUUGGUUUGUUUUAAAGAGUGGCAGGUUGAUGUUAAUAAAGAAAAGGAGCAGCAUUUUGCAGAGUGCCGUGUGUACAGCAGGUGGUUUGUGUACAUUCUCUCUGAUCUCCAUUGCCCAGAGAAAUAACCUUCACUCUUCCGUUUUACAUGUGAAGCCGUGAGGCACGGCGGCAUUUUCUGAGUGUCAUCUGAGCCACCUGUGACUCUGCACCAAGUAGAUCAAGUUGAUUGUACCUGAAAAUGUACCCUUAGGGGUGCACGAGCCGUGGGUUCAAGUGCUACCCUGCCAGACUGUGGGACUAGUGGUUACUAUGUUGGUUGGUGCACCCAGAACUCAUUUCGAUGAUUAUCGAUCUGUUGCCCUGAGGUCGGUUCUACAGAUCCAGAGAUUUCAUGGCAAGAAAUGGGUAGCUCCAGAAUUAAAAGCCCUAGGUGAUGGGCCUUGGCAGUGAAGCCUGUCUGCCACUGCUUUAUUUCUUUCUCUUUCACCAGGCACCCUCAUCCCGGCUGCACAUUAGAGUUACCUGGAUCUUUGGGGGGGUGUUUUGUUUUGUUUGGGAUAAGGUCUCACUGAGUAGCUCAGGCUGGCCAUGAACUCAUGGUGAUCCUCCUGCCUCAGUCUUCCAAGUGCUGGGACUGCAGUCACGGAACGGUGUUACGGGAGAAGGUGUGGUCAUGGAGAUGAGGUGAAAGCCUGUAAGCUCCAAAUCAAUUAGCAGGAUCAGGAGGAACACAGGCGCUCUCUCACUUAAUACCAUGGAGCAUGGGGUCACAGGCUCUGUCCACUGAGGUUAGAGACCGCGACCAGUCACAGUGAGGACCCAGCACCAGGUUAGCAUCUCUCUCAGCAUUCAGGGCUCCCUGGGCAAAUGGCCAAUUCCAGAUCUGAGCCAAGAAAUGUUCCAGUGAGCCUGGGAUAUCUUUUUUUGUUUGCUUGGUUGGUUUUUCAGCCAGGGUCUUCCUUCCUUUGUAGUUCAGGCUGGCUUUAAACUGACUCUGCAGCCCAGGAUGGCCUCAAAUUCAUAGCAGUC